rnacentral:rRNA from 1 species
AGUUUGAUCCUGGCUCAGAUUGAACGCUGGCGGCAGGCCUAACACAUGCAAGUCGAGCGGGGUUUUCGGACCUAGCGGCGGACGGGUGAGUAAUGCGUAGGAAGCUGCCCGAUAGAGGGGGAUACCAGUUGGAAACGACUGUUAAUACCGCAUAAUGUCUACGGACCAAAGUGUGGGACCUUCGGGCCACAUGCUAUCGGAUGCGCCUACGUGGGAUUAGCUAGUUGGUGAGGUAAUGGCUCACCAAGGCGACGAUCUCUAGCUGGUUUGAGAGGAUGAUCAGCCACACUGGAACUGAGACACGGUCCAGACUCCUACGGGAGGCAGCAGUGGGGAAUAUUGGACAAUGGGCGCAAGCCUGAUCCAGCCAUGCCGCGUGUGUGAAGAAGGCCUUCGGGUUGUAAAGCACUUUCAGCGAGGAGGAAGGGAUGUAUGUUAAUAGCAUGCAUUUUUGACGUUACUCGCAGAAGAAGCACCGGCUAACUCUGUGCCAGCAGCCGCGGUAAUACAGAGGGUGCAAGCGUUAAUCGGAAUUACUGGGCGUAAAGCGCACGUAGGCGGUUGGUUAAGUUGGAUGUGAAAGCCCCGGGCUCAACCUGGGAAUUGCAUUCAAAACUGGCCAACUAGAAUACGGGAGAGGGGGGUAGAAUUCCAAGUGUAGCGGUG